rnacentral:rRNA from 1 species
GAUGAACGCUGGCGGCGUGCUUAACACAUGCAAGUCGAACGGAAAGGCUCCUGCUUGCAGGGGUACUCGAGUGGCGAACGGGUGAGUAACACGUGGGUGAUCUGCCCUGCACUUCGGGAUAAGCCUGGGAAACUGGGUCUAAUACCGGAUAGGACGAUGGUUUGGAUGCCAUUGUGGAAAGUUUUUUCGGUGUGGGAUGAGCUCGCGGCCUAUCAGCUUGUUGGUGGGGUAAUGGCCUACCAAGGCGUCGACGGGUAGCCGGCCUGAGAGGGGGUACGGCCACAUUGGGACUGAGAUACGGCCCAGACUCCUACGGGAGGCAGCAGUGGGGAAUAUUGCACAAUGGGCGCAAGCCUGAUGCAGCGACGCCGCGUGGGGGAUGACGGCCUUCGGGUUGUAAACUCCUUUCGCUAGGGACGAAGCGCAAGUGACGGUACCUGGAGAAGAAGCACCGGCUAACUACGUG